AUUGAGAGAAUAUUAACAGAUCUGCUGAAGGCCCUAGCAGAAUCUUUAUGGUUAAGAAGAAGAGAAGAACUUGCUUUUUUGCCUUCUGUACAAGAAGCGAAGGACUGAACAAUGGUCUACAAGGGAAGCUUGGUGUCAGAUGUAGCAGAGGAGCAUACAUAAUAGGAGAAUGGACCAGAUGACCUCUACAGAUGUCUCUCCACACGAUGGGAAGACGAUCUACCCACAUUUCCAGUGACAAAACUUCACUGAAUCCAAGUGUACUAACUCCUACUCUGAAGAUUAUUUCCAAAUGAGGAGCAACUUUUUAGGAAAUAUUGGCAACAACAAUUAAACCUAUGAUACUACGUUGACUAUGAUUUGAUAGAACUCCUUCAUACUCAUCCUCAAAGACCUCACAUGAAGAUUGCUUAGCUGGAGAGCCUCCAGGUAUUAUGUUAACCCUAACUGAGAUCCCACUUCUUUGCAUCCUGGAAACACUGAACAUAUGUACCACACAAUUAGCUCUUAGAACUAUGCAUUAAUUCCUCCAUUAAGGCAGGACAUUUUUAACUGACAACACACGUCUUUGUUAAAACUUAUUUCUCAGAUCUUCAGCACCUGGGGAUUACAGCCAUGUCCUUUAAGUAAUAUUUGCAUGUAAUUGUGUAAAUGUCCAAGGUGGAAUAAAUAUUUCUUAAAUUUUUAUUUGUUUAUUUAUUUAUUUAUUUUUAUUAUUUAUAUUUAUUUAUUAUUUUUUACAAUUUUAUUUAUUUAUUUUAUG
rnacentral:lncRNA from 1 species